AAAUAUAAUCAUUGAUGCUUGAAUG
rnacentral:piRNA from 1 species